rnacentral:lncRNA from 1 species
CAUACUUUGGGUAAGUGAGAUGGAAACUCUCUUCUUCCUUUCUUUGUCAUUUCACUUAAUUAUGUUAUGUAAGUUGAUCAUCGAAAAGGUGCUACAUUUAUCAUUCUUUCAUUAAAUUUAUUCCUCUUAUUUUAUUAGAGCUUAGUUUUUCGUGUUUCAUAUCAUACGUAGCUAGCUACAAUCUUUGGAAGAAAAUUAUUAUAGAUAAUAAUGGUCAUAUCUAAGUAUGUUGAUUACCUAAUGUUUUAUUGAAUCCAUGUUAGUAAUGUUUAGGUACACUUCUUAAAUUUAGAGCAAGAGUUCCUUGAUAUGUCAUAUACCAUCAGAUGCUAUAUUAUUUUAAUUAGUGUUACAUAAUUCAACAUAUCUUAUUUUCCAAAACAAAUAACUAAAAGUUAAAUGAAAAGAGUUAGUUGUCACCCUUGUAUUUGUAUAGAGAAACAUAUAUUUAGAUAUUUUAGUCUAGAAGAUUAUAUUUGAAAUCCUUCUUUUCAUUUAUUUUUGGAUGCAAAAGUAAGCUUUAUAUAGAAACAUAUUAAUCAAUACAAGAUUUAUCAUAUUUAUAAAAAUAUAAUGUGAUAAAUAUUUAUAUCGACAUGAUAUUAGACUUAUAUAAAUUUUAGAUCAUAAUAGAAGACAAACGUGCAGCGCACGUUUUCAGAACUAGUCUAGUAUAGGUAGGAAUUGAGAUAAUUUGCUCCAGAAAGUUGAUUGUUUAAUAUGUAUCAGCAGGAUGUUUAUAGCAAUUCAUUUAUGAUCUUGUGACAAAUAUCAGUCUUCAUCUUAGUUGGCUAUUACGACACACUUUUCUUGUCUAUUAACAUAUGUUCUCUCUCACAUCUUGUAGACUGAAAUAUCUCCACCAUAGAAGUCGAUGGAGAAUACAUUUAAUGAUUAAAGCGAAUGAUGCUCUCACAAAUGUAAGUUUUUCUUUGUCCUCAGAAGCUUUCUAUUUUUGUUUACUUCCCUUUGCUUUUCCUUUGUUAAGAUCUUCUUGAGCAGUAUGGAGUAUUUAUUGCCACUAUGAAGUCGAGAAAUCAUCUUCAGUUCGAGAUAAAUUUAAUUUUAGAUAACCAAUAAAAAAACAAAGGUGAAAAAAUCUUUAUAUUCGUGUGGGAACACUGUAAAAUGAAAUCUAAUAUACAUAGGAAUUAAAAUAAUCUGCUCCACAAAAUCUUGUUCUUUCCGUUUCAGUGAGUUUAGAGUUAUGCACAUGUUCACUAUUGAAUUCAAAGCUUUAAUAGAAUUCAAAGGUGUACAAUACACAAGGUUUGUUUCCUAUCUAUCAAAAAUAUAUAAAAGUUUGCCUCCCAAUAAAUUUAAUACCUAUAAACAUCAGCACUAUUCAAGUUUUUAUUAAUGAUUAUUGGAUAUCAACUUAGCAGUUUUUUUCUUUGUCAGGAUUUUGGUAACAGUAUAUGUAAGCUAUUACCGCUCUAGCUCAGUUUGUACCAGGAAAGUUCUGCUGCAAUUCUCUAUUGAAUAGACCGUUGCUACAAUGUGGUCUGACAGCAAAGUGUAAGUGAAUAAACAUAGUUUCGCAGUUUUGUCGCUGACUGUAAAUAUUAAGUUUAUGCUUUAAACUGUUUAAACAUAAAUCUGUGUGAUCAUUAGAAUGAUGUAUAUCUUUGAUAUUAAUGAUGUUUAAUAUUCUUUUCAAAAUAUAAAUUAUGUUGUGCUUAUCAUCAGACUUGCUGCAAAUGGGACGUACAGCUCUGAUGGAACCCAAAGGUACAUGAUAAAAAGUUUUUAAGUAACACACAAGAGAGAUAUUGACAUUAUGGUCAUAGAUUAUAAGGAAAGAUAUUACUUUUUCAUUGUUAGGAUUUUGACAAGGCUCGGUGCUCAUUUGGGAAGUGAAAAGUUUCGAAGGUCUCUCUGUUCAAGUCAAGAAGUGAAAGCUAUUGAACUAUGUAUGUAAUAGCUUGUAUUGUUUACUUUGGGUCCUAUGCUCCUUCGACUUUAAAAUGCCUCAUUUGGGUCUAAUGUCACUUCUUUUUAUUCCAACAAUCAAUAUCGUUCUUGCGUUUUGUUGAUGUGGUAUAUGCCUAGGCUGCUACAAUGUUGUUCUUUUUACUCUAGAUACCAAGACGGAAAGCAAGAGAUGACACAAUUAUUGAACUUUCUGUAUUGAGAAAUCGGAAUUUCUGGAAAACUAUACUAGUGAAUUAUAAUCCCGGGAGCCUUUCCCCUCAAGCUCUCAAGAAAAGGCAACAAAUCGUCACUCAAAUAAAUUAGUAGCGGGUUAUUUGGGAAGCGAAAAGUUUCGUAGGUCUCUCUGCUCGAAUUGAGAAGGGAAAGUUGCUUUCAUCUUAAUACCAUAUGGUCUGAUACAUCACUAAUCUCCACUGCUCGCAAUGGAUAUAAAUUACUGCUCUUUGCGGAUUGAGACUGACACACAAUUAACUAAUCUGGCUCAUAUAUGGACACGAGUCUCCACUCAUCUAUUAUCUUUGAUUAUAUUGGACCACCUUCGACACGAACCGUCCCUGUAAAUUUUCCAUUCAAGUUUAUGUGAAUAAACAAAGCAUUUGUGUUGAGUUCGAAAGAGAUUAGGGCGUCAUGCGCUAGCUUACAAUUGCAUAUUAUAUGUUAAUAAAUCAGAUAACAAAAACUUGUACUAAAAAUCAAAAUAUUAUUAUAUGAUUUGACCAAAUGACCUACAUAUUUAAAAACUAAUAAAAAGACAUUAAAACUUGAAAGAUUUCAAAGAAAUCUUGAAGAAUUAUUUGGGAAAUUUUUCUCUAUUUUCACUGAACCAAAAUUGUACAAAGAGUUGCUUACUUAUCCAUGUAAACUAAGGACUAGAAAGUCAAUUUAAAAGGAAGUAGGUAACCAACUCUGACUAUAUACUUUACAGCUCAUCAUAUUCUAAAAUAAUCUAAAAAAUCUCUUCUUAUACAAUGUGAAUUAAUAUAAGCAACGUUGUAUAUUGAAAUGGGCUGCUGAAAUGGCAUUUGUGUGCUUCAGAUGGGAUGAAACCCAAAGAUAAAAUAUCAGCCCCAAGAGACGUGCAUUCUAGAAUAAGGCUCUCAACCCGUGUCCGAAUAAAGCUCAUCUUCUUCAUUCUUGGUACUGCCAGUCGGUGAUCAUGAGUUCCAACAAAACUGUAGAGAGUAAAGACUAUCUGAACGAUUAUAUUGUGGAUGUUAUUAUGUUCAUAGUGUGAGAAGUUGGGUUUUCUAUUUAUAGGACGUUUAGAAUAAACCAAAUAUGGAAAAUAAUUAUAUUUUUUUUUCAGAAAAAAUUCAAGCAUUUAUGUUAAUACUUUGACUUUUCUUUUAUGAAAAUAAACUUCAAAUAAGGUAAAAAAAUCAAAGCAACCAAAAACAAAGGAAAAGAGAGAGAUUACAUAGUAUCACACAUAGCAAGGCAGCAAGGCUAAUAUGACACAAACAAGACCAUAGUAGAUAAGUAUGGUGCACGUCAUGGUUUAUUUUGUAAAACUACGUAUUAAAUGAAUAUAUUUUUUAGAAUUGAUCUAAUAUUACUUGUUAUCCAUGCUACUAAAAAUAAGAAGUUCAAGUCAUCAUCAACUAAGUUUUGAGUUGGUAAGAAUCACUGAUACUACAAAUUUUCUUGAUAAAAGAGUGUUUACAACUUAUUAAACCUCAUAGGUUUGAAAGCCAUGAAUCAAAUAAGAAUAAGAAGUCUGGGACCCAAUGGCAAUAUGUAACUCGUAAGUUUUGAAAGACAUUUUAUUAGAGAGAAAUUUACGUUGUUUCUAUGUUUGUGUUUUGUUGGAUGUUUGGUGAAAAAAGUAGAUCAUCUCCUAUUGCAUUCUUUAGUUGGUUUAUAACACAAUGAGUGAUUCAACAUCUAUUUAUAUUUUUGAUUUAGAAAUAUUAUUAUACACUUGUAGAUAAAACUUCCAACAACAUAGAAAUAUGUUAAAUCUGAUUUACUUAUGCAACAAAUAUUAUAUCUUACGGGUAGAACGAACAAGGAACAUGAAAACUAAAUGUUUUUGUUAUCGGGUUGACUAAACAGGAUACAGAAAAAUCAUGUCUUUGAAUUGCAUAACAAAGAGUGUACUGAUAUUUUAUACUUUAUAAUAUCAUCACACGAAUUUUAUACUGAAGAUGUGUGCCUUUUUGUUGUCAAUUUUUUUGCAGUGAUACAAAAGCAGAUAGUGAAGACAGGUCAAAGAUUCUACUUUGAUGAAUUCUUUUUCAAUUCUUCAUCAAGAGACGAUUUAGAGUUUUUGGUAAAACUUUCUCUUUCACCAAGAGUCUCCAGCAAAAUGGGCAAUAAUUAGUUUAUCAGGAGUUCAAGUAUAUCUCGAAUUGGUUAUGGGUUAUUGCAAGUGCUUUUGGUUUUUACGUUUCUUUUCUAAUUUUUGUGGUGUUUGAAACAGAUCAAAAAAUAUUUUUAAACACUUAUUUUUAGACCCAAAAGAAGUAUAAAAAUAAGCUAAAGGCCAAAGGUAGGUAUUCCCAACUUAUGAGUUUAGCUUUUAGCUUAUAAGAUACUUUUAAAAAGUUAAUCCAAACACCCUCUUAAACUUUUAAAUUAAUUUUAAUUAAUAAGAUGUUAGCUAUUUGUUUAUAAUAUAUUAUCUUGAUAUGGUUGUAAAAACUUUAUUUAUCAAUAUGAAUAUUUGAAUUGUUUAUUUCAAAAUUCUAAAAAUAUUUUUGAUAAAAAGUAAAAUAGGUUCUCUUUCUUUAUUUUUAAUUUAAAUUUUGAGUUUUUUUCUUACAAAAAGGUACAAAAUUUAUAUAAAAUAGAAUAAAAAGGCAACUUUAAAUUAUUAUUAUUAUGUUUAUGUGUAUAUAUGUAUACCUGGACACGUUCGUUGCACGUGUAUUCCAUAUUAAUUCUUAUAAAUUCAUAUUAUUUAAAAAUAACAAACUUUUAUCUUAUACAUAAUUCAAUAACAGUUUCUUAAAUUAAAAAAAUAUCAAUAUAUAGCUAAAGAUAAAAUUCCUCAUGUUCCUAAUCUCAUAGCACCUUUGUAAAUGAUAUCUCUUCGUGUAAUUUCAUCUCCAAAUAUAUUGUUUGCCACAUUUGUAUCAUUUCUCAAUAUUUUAACAAUAAAAAAGAAAAUAAUAUAAGAAGAUACAUUUAAAGAAAGUUUAUAGAACGAAAAGGAAAGUACAUUGAAUUAAAUAUAAAAGUGAGAGAAGAAGAAUAGCAAAUUGGAUAUCAUAUCAAUUGUUCUAAUGGCUCAUAAUAGUGGUUUAAAUUCCACAAUGUCAUUAUAAGUUGUUCAAAAUUGUAAAUGAAUAAAAUUAUUAAUGAUAAAAAUAGUGUGGUAGAGAAAGAAAUCAAGUGUGUGAGGCAUCUGAAAAUAAGUAAAUUCAUUAUUUAGAGCCAAUAUAUCUUAUAUCAUACUCUUUCAAAUAUGAUUUCUUUUUACACCUUUAAAAUUACUUAUUUUCUCUUUUUUCAUUUUCUUCUCUUCUGAAGUUGAUUUGCAAUCAAUCUCUGACGGGCAAUAUCCAUCUUUGUAAGUUGACUCCUAAAUAGUAACAGUGAAGAAAUGUAUUUUUCUCCAUGCCUUGAGAAUUCUUUUUUCUUUUCUCCCCAAUUAUUUUCUUUCACAAUCCACAAACUUUAGAUUUUGUAUGCAACUUAUAAUUGUUGUGAGCUUUUAUAAGGUGUAGUAAAAAUGAGAAGUCUAUACUUAAGUAUUACUUAUUAACAAUGGAAUCUCAAAGGAUCAAAACAGAUCAUAAUUACAACAUGCACUAAUUAUUUGGCAGAUGAAACAAUUCUUCCGAUUAUUACUCAAUUCAAUGCAAGUGAUCAGAUUAUAUUUAACAUAAAGCUUUGUUAUUAAUUUCAAGUUCUUCAAAUUCAUUAUGUUUUUAUCAUCUAAUGUUUAAUUAAUUAAAUAAUUUAUAACAUUUUAAUUUAGAAUAGGGGUAAAAUGGUAACCAAGCAUUUAUAUAUAUAUAAAAUAAAUCAACGAAGCAAUGUCGAAGGACACGCAUAUAGGGUGUGUCCGCUCCUGAUUAAGUUAAGGUUUUAUAUCUUUAUGAAUAUUAAAUUAUCUUCCAAAUUCUUUUUUUUUGGGGGGGGAGAAGGGGUCUACCGCAUAUGGCAAUUUAGAUCUCUAAAAUCCGCACCAAGAAGGGAAAAUCGUUGAAUCUUUUAAUUUGCUAGUAUUGUUCGCUUUGUGCUAGGCGCACACAAUUUUAAAAUAUUAUAUAAGAGUGAAAAUUAUUUUCGCUUUCCAACUUUGCUGUAAAAAUUGAACUCCUUUUCAAUUUUAAACAACUAGUAUACGUGCUCGUGUGUUGCGCAGUUAGUUGAUAAAUGCAAUUGUAAAUAUUAAUUUAUUGACAAUUUUAAAGUUUAACUUAUUAUUAAAUAAUAUUAUCAAAUAAAUGCUUCACAUUAAAUAUGUAUACAUAAUACCUUUAACAAUAUAUCAAAAUAAAAAAUAAAAAAUAAAGAUUCAAAUCCAGGGAAUUAAACACCAAUCAUCCUACAAAUAAAACUUCAAAUCAUUGAAAGUUAUAAAUAAAAAAAAGGAAAAAUAAUCAUCAAAAACUAAUGGCUUGCAAUAAUUAUUGAUAAGAGAUUUUAAUGCUUAAAAAGUUGCUAUAUCUAUUUAUCAAAUUUCACUGAUAGUGUUAAUUCUAAGUAUGAAAUUGAUUAUAGUGGCUUUGUCUCAACAACUACAAAGUCACAUCCAAAGAAGAAGGAAAAAAGUUAUAUUGUCAAAAUUUUUUAUGCAUAAAUAGAAAUAGAAAACAAAUAAAUUAUUUUACACUUUUGAUAAUAAGUGUUUCCUAAUUAUCUUUAUGUAAAUAUUUCAUUAACAUAUUCAUUUAUAUAAAAUUUAUAAAAGAGACUUCUUUUAAUACUAAUAAACAUAAACAAAUAUUAAUUAAUAAGCAUAAACAAAUAUCAACUAUUAAUAAAUAACUAAAUGUGUAUGAAUCUUUUUUAGUAAUUUGUAUAUUUAGUUCGUGAUUUAUAUUUUUUGAUUAGUUAAAAGAUCAACUGAUAAAAUAAAGUAUUUAAAUACUUAUGAUAAUAUGGUUAAACAUGAGGUAUGUAUCAAAAAAAAUAAUCUUAAAACAUAUUUAAUUUGACGUAAUUAUUUAAAAUAAUCAUAAUUAUUUAUUUCAUGAUUUUUUAUUUUUUAUUUAUUUAAAAUAAAUACUGAAAAAUAAAAUGUUAUUAACACAAAUUUUUAUUGAUUAUAGGACUGUGUAGUAAUGUAUUGGUUAUGGGGAGUUAUAAAAAUAUUUUUUUGUCUUUUCAUUAACGUAUUCAUUUAUAUAAAAUUUACAAAGAGACUCCUUUUAAAACUAAUAAGCAUAAACACAUUUUAAUUUAAUAGCAUAAAUUUAUUAUAAUUAAGUAAUUUAAUGUGGUGAGAAUGCAUGCUAAUUAGUACUAUGUGUUAAGAAUUUAUGUGUAAAAUACAUAUCGUGUAUUAUUUUUAGCUCCCAAUAUUAAACAGAACUUUAUUUCAUUCGAUUUGGACUCGGAACAUCUAAAACAAAUUAAGUUUUUUAUUUAUCUUUUUUUUCCAGAGAACUCAUUUUAUUGUUUCAUCAAUGACUUGAAUUCAUGUUUUUAGUGGAGGUACAGAGUGUUUAUCAACUGAGAUAAAGUAUCUAAAUUUUAACUAGUUUUAGAUAAGUAAAUUUUACCGCAAAAAAAAUCAAAUAUUUCAUAUCUGAAUACACAAUCAAAAUUAAAAGAUUUGACCUUUCAAAUUUUUUUUGUGUCUCGUAAACUAAAAAAACGAAUAAUAUUUAAGUAGUUAUGGUUCCUCAUGAAUAAAUUAUAUACGGAGUUCAAUAUAUUUCAUAAACGACACAUUUCAUUACAAUAACAACAUAUUCUAUAUAGUUCUACGUAUAAAAUGUGAUUUGAAAAUAAUAAAAUGUACGUAGACCUUACUCUGCUACGGAGGUAGAGAGGUAACGACACAAUUGAUCAUCAUUGCUUAGAAAAACUUACCUAAUUAACAUUUAAAAAUUAUUAUAGUUAACUAAUUAAUUGUCCUCUCAUCUGUUCCAAUUGACUGGACAGAUUUUAGUUAUAAUAUGUUAGUGAAAAAUUACAAAAUUACAAGAUUACAAUUGAAAAUAAAAAUGAAGAAAUAAAUCUCUUCAGAUUGAGGCGUGGAUAUGUCGCUCUCUUUAAGGAGAUUCAAGCCCACUUAAGCAAAUGUUUUUCAUCGGUCCAACAGUAGUCCUCUUUACUUGUCCCCUCCAGGAUACAACAGCCUAAUCACAAAGUGUAACUCAACAAAUUUUGGACAAGAGUUGAGUUCAAACCUCCACAAAAAGAACACCUUCCUUCAACUAAUAAAAACUCUCUUUUUGGACAAACUUUAUGCACUAUGAUCUAUAUUUUUCUUGUGUGUCAACCAAACAAAGACCACCACUAUUUAUAGUUGCGGAUGUCUUCCUAGCAAUGAAUAGGAAGAUAAUGGGUAGUAAAUAAUGAAGAUAAAUGGUAUUAGAAAUUACAUAUGUUAUAAGGUAUAAUGGAGAAAUAAAGAAUGAGAUAACAAAGAUUGAAUGAAAAAGAAUUAGUGGUCAUGGUUGACCACCUUCUGCCACUAACAGUAACCUCCAAUGGCCAACGUUUUGUAACCAUCAAAUAAAGGGUAAUAAUGCCUAAAUAACACAAGUGAGUAAUGCCUAAGGUUGCAGCAAUGAAAUAGAGAUUGCUCCAACACUUGUCAUUUGCCUCUCUCCCUAGAGAAUUUCGCUUGUCACUCUCCCAGAUCUCGCUCGUCACUCUCCCUCGCCCUCUCUCACUUUAUACAACACAAUGUAUAAAUUGCGUUUGUGUUUGUAUAAAGCGAGAGAAAACUGUAUAUAAAAAUACAAAUACAUAUAUUUUUGUCCUAUACACUAAUAAUUAUACAAAUACAGAUAUUUCCCUACCAGUUCUCUUUUGCCUUCCUCUCGUUCUCGCUUUAUACAAAUACAAUGUAUAAUUUGUGUUGUAUAAAUCGAGAGAGAGAGAUUUGAUAUACAAAUGUUUAUUUUGAUUCAAUUGUAUACAAAUUCAAAUUUUAUGCAGAUAUACAAACACAAUCAAGGAUACAUAUACAUAGUAGUUACAUAUAUGCUGGUCAACAUUUUAAUAUUAAUAUUUUAUAUAUUAAUUUGUUAAAAGUUUGGAGUCAAAUGGUGCCUUUGCUGUCAAGUUAUCCGUUGGUGGUAAUUCAUUUGUCUUAACAAUUGGAAAUAUAUUUGGAGCAUUACUCCAUUUGGAGUAAGUGCUGAUGUUACUGACUGUUUCUCUUGCAGCAUCGUUUAGUGGCAUCUUGGCCAUAAGUUCUCCAUAUUAUUUCUCCAUUAUCUCACUCUUUAUUCCUCCAUUAUACCUUGUAACAUAUGUAACUCGUAAGAUCACUAUCUUCACUAUUUACUACACCAUUAUCUUCCUAUUCAUGGCUAGGAAGACUUCUUCUAGUAUAAAUAGUGGUGGUCUUCAUUUGGUUUGGGAGAUACAAUACACACAAGAAAAAUAUAGAAUGCAUAAGUUUGUCAAAAAGAUAGUUCUUAUUAGUUGGAGGGAGGUGUUCUUUUUUGUGGAGCUUUGGACUCAACUCUUGUCCAGAGUUGUUGAGUUAUACUUUGUGAAGGCUGUUGUAUCCUGGAGGGGACAAGUCAAGAAGAAGUACUGCUGGACCGGUGAAAACAUUUGCUGCAGUGGGCUUGAAUCUCCUUAAAGAGAGCGAGAUAUCCGCGCCUCAGCCUGAAGAGAUUUAUUUUCUUCAUUUUAUUUUUCAAUUGUAAUCUUGUAUUUUUGUUAUCUUGUAAGUUUUCACUAACAAUUUUAAGGAGAUUCAAAAUGGCUACAAUUGAAAAAAAUGCGGAUGUCAAGAUGGGAGACCUUAACAAGCCAUUUCGGUUCAAUGGUAACCAUUUUAAGAGAUGGAAGGGUAAAGUACUUUUCUACUUGAGUCUUCUCAAUGUUUCUUAUGUGUUAACUGAGAAGAAUCCUAAUAAAAUAGACAUCACCUUUAUGAAUGAUGAUGAAACUAUUUCUCAUCUAGAGAAAGUGGAAAAGUACGAUGGUGAUUCCUAUAAGUGUCGGUAUUAUAUUCUUAAUUGUCUAUCUGAUAAUUUUUAUGAUUAUUAUGAUAGAACUUACUCUAGUGCAAAGAAAAUUUGGAAAGCAUUGCAGAGUAAGUAUGAUACCGAAGAGGCUGGAACGAAAAAAUAUGCAGCUAGUCGAUUUUUUCGUUUCCAAAUGAUGGACAACAAAUCAGUGGUAGACCAAGCGCAAGACUUUAUAAUGAUUGUUGGAGAGCUUAGGUCCGAGGAGGUUAAAAUUAGAGAUAACCUUAUUGUUUGUGGCAUAGUGGAUAAACUUCCACCUUCUUGGAAGGAAUUUCAAAAAACUAUGCUCCACAAACAAAAGGAAACCUCUCUUGAAACCUUGAUAAUGAAAAUCCGCAUGGAAGAAGAGGCAAGAGGCCAAGAUGCACUUUUACAAACAGAAGAGAACAACAUCACAACGAAGGUAAAUUUAAUUACUUCAAAUAAUGCUACUCCUGAAUCUCACAAAAAUACUUCUUUGAAGCCUAAGAAGAAAAAAUUCAAGAAAAAUAAUGGUAGACCUCCCAAGAAAAAUAAUGGUGAAAAUAACCAAGCACAAAAUCAACAAGUUCAAGACAAAGGACCGUGCUUUGUUUGUGGCAAGAGUGGGCAUAUUGCUCGAUUUUGCAGAUUCCAAAAAUGUGGUCCNNNNNNNNNNNNNNNNNNNNNNNNNNNNNNNNNNNNNNNNNNNNNNNNNNNNNNNNNNNNNNNNNNNNNNNNNNNNNNNNNNNNNNNNNNNNNNNNNNNNNNNNNNNNNNNNNNNNNNNNNNNNNNNNNNNNNNNNNNNNNNNNNNNNNNNNNNNNNNNNNNNNNNNNNNNNNNNNNNNNNNNNNNNNNNNNNNNNNNNNNNNNNNNNNNNNNNNNNNNNNNNNNNNNNNNNNNNNNNNNNNNNNNNNNNNNNNNNNNNNNNNNNNNNNNNNNNNNNNNNNNNNNNNNNNNNNNNNNNNNNNNNNNNNNNNNNNNNNNNNNNNNNNNNNNNNNNNNNNNNNNNNNNNNNNNNNNNNNNNNNNNNNNNNNNNNNNNNNNNNNNNNNNNNNNGUCUAAUCAAUAUGUNNNNNNNNNNNNNNNNNNNNNNNNNNNNNNNNNNNNNNNNNNNNNNNNNNNNNNNNNNNNNNNNNNNNNNNNNNNNNNNNNNNNNNNNNNNNNNNNNNNNNNNNNNNNNNNNNNNNNNNNNNNNNNNNNNNNNNNNNNNNNNNNNNNNNNNNNNNNNNNNNNNNNNNNNNNNNNNNNNNNNNNNNNNNNNNNNNNNNNNNNNNNNNNNNNNNNNNNNNNNNNNNNNNNNNNNNNNNNNNNNNNNNNNNNNNAGUUUUAGGGUUAAUCCCAAUGAUUAAAAUACAUUUUGAAAUGUGUGAGGCUUGUAGUAAAGCCAAAAUCACUAAAAGGCCUCAUUUUCAAGUUGAAAGAAAAACUGAUUUGUUAGAUUUAGUUCAUACUGAUAUUUGUGAACUUGGUGGAAUUUUAACUCGUGGAGGUAAUAGAUAUUUUAUCACUUUCAUUGAUGAUUUUUCUAAGUUUACAUAUGUUUACUUGAUGAAAAAUAAAAGUGAUACUUUUGAAAAUUUCAAAACUAUCUUCAUGCGGUUGAAAAUCAGUUUGGAAGAAAAAUAAAAAGAAUUAGAAGUGAUAGAGGCCGUGAAUAUGAGUCAAAUGAGUUUAAUUCUUUUGUUAGAUCAUUGGGAAUAAUUCAUGAAACUACUCCUCCUUACUCUCCUUCAUCUAAUGGAGUAGCGGAAAGGAAAAAUAGAACUUUGGUUGCCAUGCUUAUUGAGUCACAUGCACCUUUAAAUUUUUGGGGUGAAGCUAUUUUAACUGCUUGUUAUGCGUUGAAUCGUGUGCCUCAUAAAAAGUCUAAAUUGACACCUUUUGAAUUUUGGAAAGGUUACAAGCCAAGUUUGGGAUAUCUAUUAACGCAAUUUAAAUUAAAAUUCUAUUCAACUGUCUCCAAAAGCAUCACGUCUUGUUUACACUUGAAAUUAAAAAAUUACCUUAUAAGUUGUUAAAAAGAAAAUUUUCGUAGUAGAUUUUCAUGUGAGAGAUCAAACACUUAAACAUCAAUUAAAGAAUAUGAUGCAAAAAAUCAAGAAACUAAAUGGAAAGAGCUUUGAUCUUCAAGGGGAUUAAAACUUGUGAAGAAGAGUCCCUAUUACAUUACAACAUCAAUUUGACAUCAAAGUCCUAUAUUUCUUAUUAACAAUUUGCAUUAAGCCUAGUGUUUUAAUGAAGGACAAAAAGUUCAAUCAACAUUUCUAGAAAAGGGUCUUAUAGUAUAAUUGAUUGAUAGAUACUAGAAUUGCUAAUGUGCUUCUUCAAGGAACUCUGUCACUUAACAUUGAGCUCCAAUGAACAUUGAGAUGUUAUCCGCGAGUGUGUUGCACACAUGUACGUAUUUGGCUGAAUUUUCCAAAAAUGUAAAAAUAGCACAGCUGAACCAUGUAUUGAUGUUUAAUUAAAUGAUACAAGUCUUUGGUCACUAAAUGGUCCCCGUUUUUUACAACCACCAAUUGAGAAAGCAAUGAAUAGGCACUAAUUACAACUUCUUGUUUGCAAAUUUACUAGCAAAAGAGAGAGAAAUCAGUGAUCAUUCUUGUUUGCAAAUUACUCUUAGCUUUAACAGGUAAAGUGAAAUUGUUAGUAAUUUAACAUACAAACAUUCAUCUCCUGAAAUUUCUUAAAAUCAUUUUGUGUUUUGAUUUGCAGAUUUCAGUAAAAUGGAGGUUGGCUUAGCAGUUGGUGGUGCAUUUAUCUCUUCAGCUUUGAAUGUUCUCUUUGAUAGGAUUACUCAUCUGACCUAAGCAAGAGGGUGCUGCAUAACAUACUGCCAAGACUAACAUCCUUAAGGGCAUUAUCAUUGUCAGGUUAUUACAUUGAGGAGUUGCCAGAUGACUUGUUUAUCAAAUUAAAGCUCCUCAGAUUUUUGGACCUUUCUCAGACAUGUAUUGAAAAGUUGCCAGAUUCCGUUUGUGCAUUGUAUAAAUUGGAGACACUUCUCUUGUCAUUUUGUACCUCUCUUGAAGAGUUACCGCUGCAGAUGGAAAAGUUGAUUAACUUGCGUCAUCUUGACAUAAGCAACACUUGGGUCUUGAACAUGCUGCUACAUCUGAGCAAGUUGAAAUGCCUCCAAGUGCUAGUGGGAGCCAAGUUUCUUGUAGGUGGUUUGAGAAUGGAAGAUUUGGGUGAAGUAGAGAACUUGUAUGGAUCUCUAUCAGUUUUAGAGUUGCAAAACGUGGUUGAAAGAUGUGAAGCUGUGAAGGCAAAGAUAAGGGAGAAGAAUCAUGUUGAGCAGUUAUCAUUGGAGUGGAGUGAAAUUAGUAGUGCUGACAAUUCACAAACAGAAAGAGACAUUCUUGAUGAGCUACGCCCACAUGAAAACAUAAAAGAAGUCGAAAUCACCGGAUAUAGAGGAACAAAAUUUCCAAAUUGUCUAGCUCAUCAUUCGUUUCUUAAGCUAGUAGAAUUGUCUCUUAGCAACUGCAAGGACUGUGAUUCCUUGCCAGCACUAGGAGAACUUCCUUGUUUGAAAUUCCUUUCGAUUAGAGGGAUGCAUGGAAUAACAGAGGUGACACAAGAAUUCUAUGGCAGUUCAUCCUCCAAAAAGCCUUUUAACUGUCUUGAGAAGCUUGAAUUUGAAGAUAUGCCGGAGUGGAAGCAAUGGCACGUACUAGGAAGUGAGGAGUUCCCUAUACUUGAGAAGCUUUCAUUUAGAAAUUGUCCGAAGUUGAUGGGGAAGUUGCCUGAAAAUCUUUCUUCUCUGACAGAAUUGAGAAUUUCAAAGACGCCUCUUUUUGACGAGGCUGGACUGUUUGCAUCCCAACUUCAGGCUGACAGAAUCGUUGUAUUAUCUAUUGAGUAUUGUAACUCUGUUACCUCCUUACCUUUUAGGAUACUGCCCAGUUCCUUCAAGAGAAUAUGGAUAUCUCACUGCCAGAAAUUGAUAUUGGAGGAGUCAGUUGGUUAUUGUAACAUGUUUCUCGAGGAAUUGACACUGCAAUUUACAACAACUUCAGAUCAAGAAAUGCACAAAACUGGUGAAUGGCCGAAAGGAGUGGUGUUUACAGACACUCCCCUGUCUCAGAGAGUUAAGCAUCUACCAUGAUGGCGGUGACGAAGAUAUCCAACAUUGGGAGUUGCCUUCCUCUAUUCAGAGACUUACCAUAGACAAUCUGAAAACAUUAAGCAGCCAACAUCUCAAAAGUCUCACCUCUCUUCAACAUCUACGUAUUACUAAUUUACCUCAAAUUCAGUCACUGUUGGAAGAAGGCCGGCUUCCCUCCUCUCUUUGUGCGCUAAGUUUAGAUUACCAUCAUGAGCUCCAUUCACUAAGUCUUUCGCACCUCACUUCUCUUCGACGUCUACACAUCACUGCUUGCCCUAAUCUCCAAUCACUUUCCGAAUCAGCACUGCCCUCCUCCCUCUCUCAGCUGAUCAUCUUUGAUUGCCCUGAUCUCCAAUCACUUCCAGUAAAAGGGAUGCCCUCUUCCCUCUCUUAUCUAUCUAUUUCCAACUGUCCAUUGCUCAAACCACUCCUAGAAUUUGACAAGGGGGAAUACUAGCCAAAUAUUGCUCAAAUUCCCAUCAUAAAUAUCCAUGGGAAACACCUGUAAACAAAUGAUGCUUUGACAAAUGUAAGUUAUUCUUUUCCCUCAGAAGCUUUUUAUUUUUGUUUACUUCACUUUGUUUUUUUGCUAAUUCUUUUCUUUUUUUUUCUAUCUUGCCGAGCAGUGUGGAGCAUCUAUUGCUCAAACAACGGCUACUGACCAAAAAUUGCUCAUGCUUCCACCAUAAAUGCUGAUUGGGAGAACCUGUAAUAAUUAAAACGAGUGGUGCUCCUACGUACAGAUUUGUAAGUUAUACUAUUUCCUUAGUAUCAUUUGAUUUUUUGUUACUCCUCUUUGCUCGUCUGUUAAAUAUUUUGGACCAGUGUGUAGAAUCUAUUACCUCUGUGAAGUCGAGGAAAUAUCUAUAGAUCAGGAUAAAAUCUUUAUAUUUGCAUUGAGACAUUGUGAAAGAAAUCUAGUAUAGGUAGGAAUUGAGAUAAUUUGCUCCAGAAAGUUGGUUGCUUAAUAUAUGUCAGCAUGAUGUUUAUAACAAUUCAUAUAUUCUUGUGACAAAUCUCACUUUCCAUCUUAGUUGACUCUUAAGACUCCCUUUUCUUGUCUGUUAACCUAUGUUCCGUCUCAAAUCUUGCAGACUGGAAUAUUAUUUGCCAUCAUGAAAGUUGUUUCGCAUUUUUCAUUUCUUCUACAAAGAUAAAUGGGUCCAAGAAAUGCAACCUCACUUUCUCAAUCAGGAAACCAAGACCUUGAUAAGAGUUGCAUCAAUCUUGAAAUUUAAAGAAAUUGAGAACGACUUUGAAUGCCUACUUCCAUUAUUUACGCCAUGUUGUACCACAAUAAUUUCAAGUUUGAUGCGACUACAUAAUUACAUCAGUUUUUUUUUUUUUGGUAAUCAAAGAUCCAGAAUAUUGCAUCAGUUUUUUGGUCUUGAUAUUCAGAGAACUUUGGAGAUUAUGAAGUUUCCUUUGAGAACUUUGGAGAUUAUGAGUAAUAGUUUACACUGUCAUAAAUCAGCGAAAUAAAUUUACUUCGUUGGCACUCUCAUCAGUCAUCAGCCAGCGAAACAAAGAAACCAACACACCCAAUCUAAACCUGAAUUUUUUACAAAAUCAACACACCCAAUCUAAACCUGAAUUUUUUCUGUUGCAUUUUAAUGAUCCGACUAAAAAUAUUUAAAAGAUAGUUACUAAGUUUUAGUUUUUUUAAUGUAUUUAUAAUGUAAAGCUCUAUUUCAUUAGUUGAAAGCUGCAGAAGAUAAUGUUUUAAUGUCAAGUGCAAACACUUGGAGUUUUCGUUUGCCAAAUGAGACUCAUAUAAUAUGAGUUUUCUUAAUUAAGUAUUCAUAUUUUUGUAUUUCUAAUUAUGCAGUAAAAUCAAGGUGUUCAUUUAGUUCUCACUUUAAUUUAAGGUUGAAAAUGAUGAAUUUGAUUGGGGAAAUAGUGAAACAUUUUGAUUAUUCAUUUGCAAUAAAAGGAAAGAUACUUGAAGGUUUCUUUUUGUUAGAUUUUCUUCGUGGAAUUUGCUUAUGUUAGCUUUUUGGAGUUGUUCAGAAAUACCAUUAGAUCGGUUGAAGGCUAAUUGGAUAUAAUUGUCUUCAUGACGUGUUUGCUAAGUUUCUGUCGCCUAAUUCAGAUUCCACUGGAUUAGUUUCUACCCAAGAUUAUGCAUAUAUUUGGUGUAAGGUUGAAAAGUAAAAACCUCAAAUGAUAUAUGUAUUUUCUUUUUUAAAAAUACAAAGUUGCGAUGAAGAUUGAAAAUUUUGAUGGUAUUAAUUUUUAUAUGGAUCACCAUUGAGAACUUUGCCUGAGGUAUUAAUCUCCAUUUUCCCUAUUUAUAAAUGUUUCCUGUAGCUCCUAAUUGUGAUGCUUCAUUUACACAUUUUUUACAUUAUAUCUUAUUACAGGGAUAAAGUCUGUCAAGAGUCAAUUAGAUGUUACAGACUUGCAACUACUUGUUGUGCGUUAUAUAUAUAAUUGCAUAUUUCUUGGAUAUCAAGUAUUGGAUUGGUUUCUCAUUGCUUAUUGACUUAUACUCUUACGCGUUUUAAUUUCACAUCUCAAUUGCGAAAGAAAGAUAUCAUAUGUAGCUUGUGCAAAAUAUGAUGUCAUCUUACGUACUACUCUUUGUUGCAAUUUACCGUCCAGAUAACAUGACAGUUAAUUUUGUGGAAUUCUCCUUUGCUUGUCCUAUUAGCAUGAUUUGGUUGUUGAUCCAUUGUUGCUGUAGGAUUGUUCGAUCUUGUCUUUGUUGUUCUUAAACUUCGGUCAACAAAAAUCAUGAAUGGUCAGAAUAAUGCAAUUGAUUCGCAUCAGAGAUGAAUCUAAGGCUAAUAAACGGAUAGACGUAUCAUGAUGUAUUAUGACUGUUAGAGGGUGAACGAUUGAGAAGCCUUCAGUUCUUGAUUAAGCCUUCACAUUGCUUUGUUCUUCUAGCUUCUUCAGUAUAAAAAAAAUUGCUUGUGAGCCAUAUCUUGAAUUUGACACUUCUUCACCUGGCAGUAAGCUUAGAAAUCACUUUUUAUAGUCAAAUAGAACUAUAAAUAUAGACAGUGUAUGGUCUGUAAUAGAUCUACUUGUUUAUACUCAUCAUUAUGUCGAAGGGUUGUAAAGAAGAAGAUAUGAUACAGAACUUCAGAGAUCUUUCUCUAGUAGUCUGUAGUUUAUACGAUUAUCUUAAUGGAAGUCCCAAUUGACUGCUGCAUUCUAACCCUACCAUUGGUAGCCUAACUUAUACUUCAUAUCUUUAUCUUUCCUGUUAAAGAUACUUAUAAUUAACACUUGCAUUAUUUUUUACAACCGAGCUAGAAUUUUAGCUAUUUGUGUUAAAAUUGUGUAUUUGCAUUAAGAAAUCUACUUAUUGCUCAGAACCAAUUACUUUCUUUUUUUUGUAAAAUUCAGAAUUCAUAAACUCAAAUGCAAGUUUCACAAAUGAAAAGUCAUGUGCCUUUUAACUUGGAUUUUGGAGCCUACAAAAUAUGUGGAAAAUCCUGAAUAAAUGGGUCAGUGGAAUAAUAUGUGAGUUGUAAACCCAAAGAAGAUCAAAUGAAAUAUCCCAAUCUUGUAUUCCCAAGAAAUUGGAGAGAUUUUGUAAUGAAAGAAGAAAAUUGUGAAGCGGCAAUUAGGAAAGAAGAGAGAGUACACAUUCAGUGAACCAAAAGAGUGACAACAAAAGUCUUUUUCUAAGAACAUUCCCUUUUUGUAGAUUGUUUCCUAUAUUUCUUAUCCAAAUACAGUGUAUGCACAAGAGUGUAGCUAAAGCAAUACUGAACUAGUCACGUAUCAGGAUUUCUGAAGCAAUACAGCAUUCAAUUGUUGUCUCAGUUAGAUUGCUCCUUUUUUACAAAUGUAACCGUAGGUUUUCCAAAAUGAUAGCUUGAGUCCCUUUUCAACAAUCAUGUAAUGCUAAUUUUUUCUGUUGUUUUGCAUUUUCGUCUUUGCUAUUCGUAAGCCUGGGAUAAACUUUUGUCAUCUGGAAUUUGAAAAGUUAUGUUUUACUCCUUAUGAUAUGCAGAUAUGUAGUUGCAGAGAUAAAGCAUAUGACAAUCUGGCUCGGAAAGAACAGUUUGACAUCCAAGACAGUGAAGAGCUUAAUAGAAUGAAGGAAGAAAAUGUCAAUCUGCAAGAAAAGCUGAAUAAUACAGGUAUUAUUAAUUGAUAUUCCAGACGGUACAAAUUUGUAAAAUAUAAAAAAUCGCUUGUGAGCCAUAUAUGAUAUAUUGAAUUUUAAACUUCUUCACUUGCAAUAAUCACUUUCUUAGUUAAAUAAAACAAUAGUAUUUCAUUUCUUUUCUAGAGGAAUCAUACAUGUACAGCUAUAAACAUAGAGAUAUGUGUGCUGGUCUGUAAUUGCAAUACGUGGAUUGGCCAAGAAUUCUAAAAAUUCUUUUUAAUUGCUUUCAGUAAGGAGGUUGUGAUUUCCAAGUCGUACAGCUGUCUACUGUGGCUUCCUUGAGAUGAAACAUGACUUGCUGCAAAUGGAAUGUCAAGCUCUAAUGUACCCAAAGGCCGGAUGAGGACAAAACCAUGGCUGUUCACGCUUCAACUCAGUUUCCUGAGUAUACGCAUAGUUUGAUUGAUGUUGUCUUGGUGUUCCCGAACAUAAUAUCUGUGUGAUAACAGGAAGGGCUGAAGGUGGCUUUGGCGGCAAGAAAUAUGCCAGUGAGUACCCACAAGGAUUUUCGUUUAAAGCUACAGAUAAAAAAGGCCUUUUUGUUUAAAGUUGUUGCUUGGAAAUAGUUUUGCUCCUUUCAGUCUUAUGUUUUGUUUAAAAUUUUUGUAACCAAUCCUUCUUCGCGGGGGUGGGGGGAUUGAGGGGGUGACUGCAUUAUCAACCACUACAGUGAUUAGUAUAUUUCAUAAUAUUUAAGGUAUAUUCAUUGUUCAGUUAAGAGAACACAAGAGCUCAGCUUUUUAGAGGACCAUAAAUAUCUAAGGAUAAAUGAAAUGGGCAAAAAAGUUCCAUAUAUAUCUAUGUUGACCACAAAAACAAAGAAACUCUGCUCCAUCGCAUACCUUCACUUCCUAUGAACCGUCCAAAGGAAAGAUAUAUUCGAUUGAACAAAGAGCUAAGCUGCCUUUCAACGCAAAAGGCAUUAUUACACACAUAAGAGGGGAGAAAACAGGAAAAGAACUAUCAUACAAUAUGGAGAAAAAAAGCUCAAAACCAUUGUGCUCACGCAUAAGCAUGGAAAUAUGGGCUUUCAAGGUAGAAAAGUUAUGGCUGCAUGCCAACAAGCUUUAUCGGCAACUGGAUUAAACUGAACAACAAUUAAUGCCAGAGUUGUUGUCAGUGGAGUCCACAUUCCAUACAUUCUCAAGCAUGUUAAGAGUGACUCUGUGGUGGUAGUAAGAGAAUCGAAAAAUAAAUAAGAAUGUCUUGUUAUAUAAUUUCAUAUAGUAAGAUAGCAAGAAAAACUAACUUUCGAAAGAAGUGUUUUUGCCUCGAUAAUUAUCUAACAAGAGUGUCGAUGCAAAAGUAGUUUUUUUUCGUGAGAAAAUACCAGAUUAAAAAAAGUAACGUAGACGUCAGUUUAAGCUUAUAGGGCAAUUGAUGUGGGCCCACCCUCAUAUUUUCCACGUCAAUAGUCAAGAUGACAUCAUUAAUUAUUUAACUCUACACCAUACUUACUUGUAUGGAAUAUUUGUAUUAAAUAUACUCUUAUAGUAUCAUUUACUAAUGAAUAAUUUCUAAUAUAUGAUGUCAUUUAUAAAAUUUCAAAUAAAAGUAUUCCAAAGUAGAGGGCUAGAAUCAAAGGGUAGGGGUUGGGGUACAAAAAUAAAUAAAUAUAUGAUGUCAUUUAUAAAAUUUGUCUUCGCUAUUUUCAUUAAGGAAAUUGUUUUUCCUCAUUUUUAAGUGACUUAAUUUCCUGUUUCUUUUCAAGUCUUUGUUUUUUCGUUAAGUGAUAUGUUAGGCCCAAUUAAGCACUAAAAUGAGCUGUUAAAAGCAGUAGUGCAUAAAGCAAAAGUAAUGAAUCAUAUUUCUUAGUUGGUAGGUGUUGUCUUUUAUUGUUUUGUUUAUUUAUUUUGGUGGGCUGUACACUUAGGCAACCCACAUGAUUUUGUAUAUAUUUGCUCUUAGUUUAAUAAAAAUCCUGACCCAUCUGGUCUUUGAUUUAAAAAAAAAAGAAAAAGUAAUGAAUCAUAAAGCUAAAAAUACUUUUCUUUAUUGCCUCAAUUAUUUUCGAAUCUUUGUUUUUUCAGUCAAGAAAAGAGAAUUGUUUUGCUUCUUUCUUGUAGACAAAAGAGAGAAAUCAGUGAUCAUCUUGUUUGGGAAUUACUCUUAGCAUUCAACAGGUACAUAAAGAAGUUGUUAGUAAUUAAUGAUAGAAAAAUAUUUAUCUUAAAAAAUCAUUUUGUUUUGAAUUUGCAGAUUUCAGAAAUGGAGGUUGUCUUGGCAGUUGGUGGUGUAUUUCUCUCUUCAGCUUUGGAUGUUCUCAUUGAUAGGCUUGCUCCUCAGGGCGAUCUUCUCAAAAUGUUUCGGAAGCGUAAGAAUGAUGUUGAGCUCUUAAAGAAGCUGAAAUUGACUUUGCUUGGUCUUCAAGCUGUGCUAAGUGAUGCAGAGAAUAAGCAAGCAUCAAAUCAAUUUGUGAGAGAGUGGCUUAAUGAGCUUCGAGUUGCUGUAGACUCUGCUGAAAACUUGAUUGAACAAGUCAAUUAUGAAGCUUUGAAGCUUAAGGUGGAAGGUAAGCAUCAAAAUCUUGCAGAAAAAAUAUUGAAGCAUUGUAGAUUUUGCAGCCUGUGCUUGGGUGAUCAUUCUUUUCUUAACAUAAAUGAAAAGUUGGAAAAGACUAUUGAAACAUUGGAGAAUUUGCAAAAUCAAAUUAGUGACCUUGGCUUACAGAAACAUUUUGGUUCGACUAAACAAGAAACUAGAACUUCAACUUGUUUGGUUGAUGAAUCUGAUAUCUUUGGUUUACACAAGGAAAAAAAGGAUAUGAUUGACCGUUUAUUGUCUGAAGAUGCAAGUGGAGGAAACCUGACUGUAGUUCCUAUUGUUGGAAUGGGCGGCACGGGUAAGACAACACUAGCUAAAGUUGUUUACAAUGAUGAGAAGGUGAAGAACCAUUUUGGUUUGAAAGCUUGGUAUUGUGUUUCUGAGCCAUAUGAUGCUUUGAGAAUAACGAAAGGGUUACUUCAAGGAAUUGGCUCAUUUGACUCGAAGGAUGACGGCAAUGUUAAUCAGCUACAGGUCAAAUUGAAGGAAAGCCUGAAGGGAAAGAAGUUUCUUGUUGUCCUUGAUGAUGUGUGGAAUGAUACCUAUAGUGAGUGGGAUAACCUGAGAAAUGUUUUUGUACAAGGAGUUAUGGGAAGUAAGAUCAUUGUAACAACACGUAAGGAGAGUGUUGCUCAGAUGAUGUGUGCUGAUCGUUGCGCAAUCACCAUGGGGACUCUGUCUAGUGAAGACUCUUGGGCUUUAUUCAAACGACAUUCACUAGAAAAUAGGGAUCAUCCAGAACUUGAAGAGGUUGGGAAAAAAAUUGCAGAUAAGUGCAAAGGGUUGCCUUUAGCUCUAAAGGCACUUGCUGGUGUUUUACGCGGCAAAUCAGAGGUAGAUGAGUGGAGAAACAUUUUAAGAAGUGAAAUAUGGGACCAGCGUUGUUGGAAUGGUAUAUUACCAGCAUUGAUGUUGAGCUACAAUGAUCUUCCUGCACAUUUGAAGCGAUGCUUUGCUUUUUGUGCAAUAUAUCCCAAAGAUUAUCAAUUCUGCAAAGACAAACUUAUUUACCUGUGGAUUGCUAAUGGUCUUGUAAAGCAGUUUUGUUCAGGUAACAAAUACUUUGACGAGUUGAGAUCAAGAUCAUUGUUUGAGAGGGACCCAGAGUCUGAAUGGGAAUCAGAGAGAUUCUUAAUGCAUGAUCUUAUAAAUGAUUUGGCCCAAACUGCAUCUUCAAAACUUUGUAUUAGGUUGGAAGAGACCGAAGGAUCUGAUGAUAUGUUGGAACAAUGUCAGCACAUGUCCUAUUCCAUGGGACAAGAAGGUGAAUUUGAGAAAUUGAUACCACUCUCCAAAUCAGAGCAGCUGAGGACAUUGCUUCCAACCAAUAUCAGUAACUUUUCUGGGCUAAGCAAGAGGGUGCUACAUAACAUACUUCCAAGACUAACAUCCUUAAGGGCAUUAUCAUUGUCAGGUUAUAGGAUUACGGAGUUGCCAAAUGACUUGUUUAUCAAAUUAAAGCUCCUCAGAUUUUUGGACCUUUCUGAGACACAGAUUGAAAAGUUGCCAGAUUCCAUUUGUGUCUUGUAUAACUUGGAAACCCUUCUCCUGUCAUCUUGUGAAAAUCUUGAGGAGCUACCGCUGAAGAUGGAGAAGUUGAUCAACUUGCGUCACCUCGACAUAAGCAACACUUCUCGCUUGAAGAUGCUGCUACAUCUGAGCAUGUUGAAAAACCUCCAAGUCCUACUGGGAGCCAAGUUUCUUAUAGGUGGUAGCGGUGGUUUGAGAAUGGAAGAUUUGGGUGAAGUACAUAACUUGUAUGGAUCUCUAUCAGUUUUAGAGUUGCAAACUGUAGUUGAUAGAAGGGAAGCUCUGAAGGCAAAUAUAAAGGAAAAGGAACAUGUUGACAAGUUAUCAUUGGAGUGUAGUGAAGGUAGUUUUGCUUACGAUUCUCAAACUGAAAGAGAGAUACUUGAGGAGCUACGCCCAUACACAAACAUAAAAAAUGUCGAAAUCACCGGAUAUAGAGGGACCAAAUUUUCAAAUUGGCUGGCUGAUCCUUCGUUUCUUCAGCUAGUAGAAUUGUAUCUUAGCAACUGCAAGGACUGUGAUUCUUUGCCAGCACUAGGACAGCUUCCUUCUUUGAAAUUCCUUGACAUUAGAGGGAUGCAUGGAAUAACAGAGGUGACGGAAGAGUUCUAUGGAAGUUCAUCCUCCAAAAAGCCUUUUAACGCUCUUGAGAAGCUUGAAUUUGAAGAUAUGCCGGAGUGGAAGCAAUGGCACGUACUAGGAAGUGGGGAGUUCCCUAUACUUGAGUACCUUUCAAUUAGAAAAUGUCCAAAGUUGAUGGGGAAGUUGCCUGAAAAUCUAUGUUGUCUGAUAGAAUUGAGAAUUUCAGAGACACCUCUUUUUGAUGAAGCUCAACUGCUUAGAUCCCAAUUUGAGGGAAUGAAGCAGAUUGCUGAAUUAGAUAUCAAAAUUUGUAACUCUCUUACCUCCUUACCUUUUAGCAUAUUGCCCAGUUCCUUGAAGAGAAUAGCGAUAUCUCAUUGUCAGAGAUUGAAAUUGGAGGAGCCAGUUGGUUAUUGUAACAUGUUUCUGCGGAGCUUGCAACUGUAUAAUUGUGAUUGUAUAGAUGAUAUAUCACCUGAGUUGCUCCCAAGAGCACGUUCUUUGAAGGUACAUGCUUGCUAUAACCUUGCUAGGUUUUUGAUUCCUACUGCAACUGAAAGUCUCACUAUUCGGGAUUGUGAGAAUCUUGAAAUACUUUCAGUGGCAGUUGGAACCCAUGAGUCUGCCAUGACGUCUUUGCAUAUUUGGGAUUGUGAGAAGCUCAAGUGUCUGCCAGAAAUAGAUCUCUUCAAUUUACAAGUCCUUAAGAUCUAUAAUUGCAAGAAACUAGUGAACGGCCGAAAGGAGUGGUGUUUACAGAGACUCCCCUGUCUCACAGAGUUAGAGAUCAGACAUGAUGGCAGUGACGAAGAGAUCCAACAUUGGGAAUUGCCUUCCUCUAUUCAAACACUUAGAAUAGAGAAUCUGAAAACAUUAAGCAGCCAAGUUCUCAAAAGCCUCACCUCUCUUAAAUAUCUAUCUAUUGAUUGGCUUCCCUCCUCUCUUUCUCAGCUACAUUUAUGUUACUAUGAUGAGCUCCAUUCACUACAUCUUUGCCACCUCACUUCUCUUCUAAGUCUACAUUUAAAUUGUCGUAAUCUCCAAUCACUCUCUGAAUCAACACUGCCCUCCUCCCUCUCUCAGCUGACCAUCUCUCAUUGCCCUAAUCUCCAAUCACUCUCUGAAUCGCAUAUAGGUGUGUCUGCUCCUGAUUAAGAUAAGGUGUUAUAUCUUUAUGAAUAUUAAAUUAUCUUCCAAAUUCUUUUUUUUUUUUGGGGGGGGGGGGGGUGGGGGGGAUCAACCGCAUAUGGCAAUUUAGAUCUCUAAAAUCCGCACCAAUUAAGAAGGGAAAAUCGUUGAAUCUUUUAAUUUGCUUGUAUUGUUCGCUUUGUGCUAGGCGCACACAAUUUUAAAAUAUUAUUUAAGAGUGAAAAUUAUUUUCGCUUUUCAACUUUGCUGUAAAAAUUAAACUCCAUUUCAAUUUUAAUAAUCGAACUCCUCCCUUUAUUCUAAUUAAUUUUUUAAAAAUACCUAUUAUACCCUUUCAUUAUCUUGUGACAAAUCUCACUCUUCAUCUUAGCUGGCUAUUACAACUCACUUUUCUUGUCUAUUAACAUAUGUUCUCUCUCAAAUCUUGUAGACUGAAAUAUCUCCACCAUAGAAGUCGAUGGAGAAUACAUUUAAUGAUUAAAGCGAAUGGUGCUCUCAACAAUGUAAGUUUUUCUUUGUCCUCAGAAGCUUUCUAUUUUUGUUUUGUUCCCUUUGCUUUCCCUUUUUUAAGAUCUUGUUGAGCAGUAUGGAGUGUCUAUUACCACUAUGAAGCCAAAAAAUCAUCUUUAGUUCGAGAUAAAUUUAAUUUUCGAUAACCACAAUAAACAAAGGUGAGAAAAUCUUUAUAUUCGUGUGGGAACACUGUAAAACGAAAUCUAGUAUAUAUUCGUGUGGGAACACUGUAAAACGAAAUCUAGUUUAUGCUUUGAACUGUUUAUACAUAAAUCUGUGUGAUCAUUAGAAUGAUGUAUAUCUUUGAUAUUAAUGACGUUUAAUAUUCUUUUCAGAAUAUAAAUUAUGUUGUGCUUAUCAUCAGACUUACUGCAAAUGGGACGUACAGCUCUGAUGGAACCCAAAGGUACGUGAUAAAAAAGUUGUUUAAAUAACACACGAGAGAUAUUGACAUUAUGGUCAUAGAUUAUAAGGAAAGAUAUUACUUUUUCAUUGUUAGGAUUUUGACAAGGCUCGGUGCUCAUUUGGGAAGUGAAAAGUUUCGAAGGUCUCUCUGUUCAAGUCAAGAAGUGAAAGCUAUUGAACUAUGUAUGUAAUAGCUUGUAUUGUUUACUUUGGGUCCUAUGCUCCUUCGACUUUAAAAUGCCUCAUUUGGGUCUAAUGUCACUUCUUUUUAUUCCAACAAUCAAUAUCGUUCUUGUGUUUUGUUUGAUGUGGUAUAUGCCCUAGGAUGCUACAAUGUUGUUCUUUUUACUCUAGAUACCAAGACGGAAAGCAAGAGACGACACAAUUAUUGAACUUUCUGUAUUGAGAAAUCUGAAUUUCUGGACGCAAAUGGUUAGAGAAAACUGUAAAUGCAAUGUAAAAUGCAUAAGAAUCAGGGGAGAUUUUGAGGAGUGAGAUUUGUUUGUGUAAUUUUGUAAUGUUGUUAUUACUAAUUAAAUGAUAUGUGUGUAUUUCAGUUCAUACUGCUUAAAAUUUCUUCAUUUGAGGAUGU